rnacentral:rRNA from 1 species
UACGUAGGGACCAAGCGUUGUUCGGAUUUACUGGGCGUAAAGGGUGCGUAGGCGGCUUUUUAAGUUUGGUGUGAAAUCUCCCGGCUCAACUGGGAGGGUGCGCCGAAUACUGAGAAGCUAGAGUGUGGGAGAGGAAAGUGGAAUUCCUGGUGUAGCGGUGAAAUGCGUAGAUAUCUGGAGGAACACCGGUGGCGAAGGCG